AAGAAUCCUACCCAGUGCUUGCUUACUAAAAUUGGAAGGAUACAGAGAAGAUUAGUAUGGACCCUGCACAAGGAUAACAUGCAAAUUUGUGAAGUGUUCCAUAUUAUU